rnacentral:lncRNA from 1 species
UUUUACUGACAUAUAUGCUCUCAUUUUUUUAAUUUUUUUUUUGGGGGUAGUCAUUUAUGCUCUCAUUGAUGGGGGUACCAUGUAAUCUACUUAUACUAUGAUAAAUAAAUUCCAAUCACCAAAAUAGGAGGGCUCAGGCUGUCCAAACCAUGUGGAUUGUCAUUUAACACACACUACAAUUGCUUUCUGUUCUGGUAGCUCCAUGGGGGUCUAUAGCUAUAUGUUAAAUGCCUCUAAUUGAUUCCUACAUUUCCUAUCAAAUCCUAAAAACCUCUCUCCUAUGUGAUAUGUCCCACUCUAAUAAUUAAACAAAGAAAAAGUAACCAUACCUUUUCCCACUUUACUCAAUAGACCCACAUGCAUUUCACU